rnacentral:rRNA from 1 species
CCUAGUCGGGACCUAAGCCGAGGCCGAAAGGCGUAGGCGAUGGACAACAGGUUGAUAUUCCUGUACCACCUCCUCACCAUUUGAGCAAUGGGGGGACGCAGGAGGAUAGGGUAAGCGCGGUAUUGGAUAUCCGCGUCCAAGCAGUUAGGCUGGGAAAUAGGCAAAUCCGUUUCCCAUAAGGCUGAGCUGUGAUGGCGAGCGAAAUAUAGUAGCGAAGUUCCUGAUUCCACACUGCCAAGAAAAGCCUCUAGCGAGGUGAGAGGUGCCCGUACCGCAAACCGACACAGGUAGGCGAGGAGAGAAUCCUAAGGUGAUCGAGAGAACUCUCGUUAAGGAACUCGGCAAAAUGACCCCGUAACUUCGGGAGAAGGGGUGCUCUGUUAGGGUGCAAGCCCGAGAGAGCCGCAGUGAAUAGGCCCAGGCGACUGUUUAGCAAAAACACAGGUCUCUGCGAAGCCGUAAGGCGAAGUAUAGGGGCUGACGCCUGCCCGGUGCUGGAAGGUUAAGAGGAGCGCUUAGCGUAAGCGAAGGUGCGAAUUGAAGCCCCAGUAAACGGCGGCCGUAACAAUAACGGUCCUAAGGUAGCGAAAUUCCUUGUCGGGUAAGUUCCGACCCGCACGAAAGGCGCAACGAUCUGGGCACUGUCUCAACGAGAGACUCGGUGAAAUUAUAGUACCUGUGAAGAUGCAGGUUACCCGCGGCAGGACGGAAAGACCCCGUGGAGCUUUACUGCAGCCUGAUAUUGAAUGUUGGUACAGCUUGUACAGGAUAGGUAGGAGCCUUGGAAACCGGAGCGCCAGCUUCGGUGGAGGCAUCGGUGGGAUACUACCCUGGCUGUAUUGACCUUCUAACCGCCGCCCUUAUCGGGCGGGGAGACAGUGUCAGGUGGGCAGUUUGACUGGGGCGGUCGCCUCCUAAAAGGUAACGGAGGCGCCCAAAGGUUCCCUCAGAAUGGUUGGAAAUCAUUCGCAGAGUGUAAAGGCACAAGGGAGCUUGACUGCGAGACCUACAAGUCGAGCAGGGACGAAAGUCGGGCUUAGUGAUCCGGUGGUUCCGCAUGGAAGGGCCAUCGCUCAACGGAUAAAAGCUACCCCGGGGAUAACAGGCUUAUCUCCCCCAAGAGUCCACAUCGACGGGGAGGUUUGGCACCUCGAUGUCGGCUCAUCGCAUCCUGGGGCUGUAGUCGGUCCCAAGGGUUGGGCUGUUCGCCCAUUAAAGCGGUACGCGAGCUGGGUUCAGAACGUCGUGAGACAGUUCGGUCCCUAUCCGUCGCGGGCGCAGGAAAUUUGAGAGGAGCUGUCCUUAGUACGAGAGGACCGGGAUGGACGCACCGCUGGUGUACCAGUUGUUCUGCCAAGGGCAUCGCUGGGUAGCUAUGUGCGGACGGGAUAAGUGCUGAAAGCAUCUAAGCAUGAAGCCCCCCUCAAGAUGAGAUUUCCCAUUCCGCAAGGAAGUAAGAUCCCUGAAAGAUGAUCAGGUUGAUAGGUCUGAGGUGGAAGUGUGGCGACACAUGGAGCUGACAGAUACUAAUCGAUCGAGGACUUAACCU